AUUGAACGCUGGCGGCAUGCCUUACACAUGCAAGUCGAACGGCAGCAUGGAGAGCUUGCUCUCUGAUGGCGAGUGGCGAACGGGUGAGUAAUGCAUCGGAACGUACCGUGUAAUGGGGGAUAACGUAGCGAAAGUUACGCUAAUACCGCAUACGACCUGAGGGUGAAAGCAGGGGAUCGCAAGACCUUGCGUUAUACGAGCGGCCGAUGUCAGAUUAGCUAGUUGGUGAGGUAAAGGCUCACCAAGGCGACGAUCUGUAGCGGGUCUGAGAGGAUGAUCCGCCACACUGGGACUGAGACACGGCCCAGACUCCUACGGGAGGCAGCAGUGGGGAGUUUUGGACAAUGGGGGCAACCCUGAUCCAGCCAUGCCGCGUGAGUGAAGAAGGCCUUCGGGUUGUAAAGCUCUUUCGGCCGGGAAGAAAUCGCACAGGCUAAUACUCUGUGUGGAUGACGGUACCGGCAUAAGAAGCACCGGCUAACUACGUGCCAGCAGCCGCAGUAA
rnacentral:rRNA from 1 species